GCAGCGUCGUCCCCCACGAACCUCCCUGCCCCCUGCUCCUGAUUCCCUUUCAGGAAUUUACAAACAUUUUUCCCUAGAUCAAUAUCCGUAUUGAUUAUUCAUUGUGAGCGAGUCGUGUGUCUUUGGUGAUCCAGCUUGCAGAGGGUAGCAGCUAAAGACUGCUGCAGGGGGAAAAAAUAACAGAAGGUGAGAAGGACCCAGCUCUGACUGGGGUCUGCGGCUGUCACAUCACAGAGAGGAAGAAGAAGAGAAUGCUCCAGAAUGAAAGGAUGGAGAAGGGUGGAAGAGAAAGAGGGAGCGACAGCAAGAAAGAAAGAUGCGAGGACUGCAUCUGGUCUUAGGGAUCUCAAUGGCUUGGAGGAAAGCCCCAUCAUCUUGGGUCUGCUGCUAGGUGCAAAAUGCCGUGCGUUCCUCUGCUCUGGGAGUGAACAGUGACUCACGGUUUUGGUGUCUUCCUACGUAAGAGCUUUUGGUGGGGGGAUUCCUUGGCUUGCUGACAGACAAGGAAGGACGCAGCAGCAGUGAGGUAAAAGAAGAGGAAGAAAAAAAAAAAAAGCAACCCAGUCCUUUCCAACCGAUUCGCCGAGGAUGUGCACCGGUUCGGUUUGAUUUGAACAGCUUGCUGCUCUAAAUGGCAUGCAGGAGGAUAAUUAAAAAGGCCAGCAUCACUUACUAAGGAUUACUGGAAAAGACGGUGAGAGGAUGACAGGAAGACAUCUUGGAUCAGAGCCAAAAAAAUAAUAAUCAAGGCAAAUCAAGUCUGCAGUUCGGAGAAAACACCCAUGGCUUGGGAAGCUCCGAAGGGGACCUGGGAACUGCUGGAGUUCUUCAGCCGAGGCUGGGAAUAUUGUUGUGGGCACAAGAGGACAAGAUUGGGGGAAGUCAUGGCAUGCCAGCUUACACAGCUAAGCCACACACUGAGGAAAAAGAAAAGCCACACCAGAUCCACACCAGACCCAAACAGUGAGAGCCAACAUAUCCUUUGCUUUGGAAUCUUUCUGCUGGCCCCAAGUCAUUCCGUCUAUUUAGAGCAAUUCCACAACAUGCCUCCUGCCAGUAGCUGCUAUUCCCCUUGUCUGUCUUCAGAAGCUGCCUCACGGUUGAACGGGAGAGUGGAAAGAGGGGAGACUCAGUUUUCCAUUGGCUGGCAUUCUGGCAAAUGGGCCAGGUGAUUGUGUUUGCCAUUUGGACAGACAUACGGGAGCUGGUUGGGGAUUCCUCUCUGUUGUCACCCAGCUGUGGCUUGGUGAGUCCCAAACCAACCGUGAACUCUCUUUAUACACUGUUCCAAACGCAUAUGGACAAGGUGGGGACCCCAAGGAAUAAAAACAGUUGGAUUUUCUUUUC